rnacentral:rRNA from 1 species
UACGUAGGUGACCAGCGUUGUCCGGAUUUACUGGGCGUAAAGAGCGCGCAGGCGGUCGUUCAAGUCGAGUGUGAAAGCCCCCGGCUCAACUGGGGAGGGUCAUUCGAUACUGAUCGACUCGAAGGCAGGAGAGGGUAGUGGAAUUCCCGGUGUAGUGGUGAAAUGCGUAGAUAUCGGGAAGGAACACCAGUGGCGAAGGCGACUACCUGGCCUGUUCUUGACGCUGAGG